rnacentral:rRNA from 1 species
AUCCUGGCUCAGGAUGAACGCUAGCUACAGGCUUAACGCAUGCAAGUCGAGGGGAAACGACAUCGAAAGCUUGCUUUUGAUGGGCGUCGACCGGCGCACGGGUGAGUAACGCGUAUCCAACCUGCCCAUCACUUGGGAAUAACCUUGCGAAAGUAAGAUUAAUACCCAAUGAUAUCCCACGAAGGCAUCCGAAUGGGAUUAAAGAUUUAUCGGUGAUGGAUGGGGAUGCGUCUGAUUAG